GUCCCGGUUCCAUCAUCAAAGUUGAUAGGUUUUGAAGUUGAAAGAUGUUUAUCGGUUUAUAGCCUCCUACAAAGGCUGGUCGUUGUCUUAUACACCGGAUACAACAGGAAGUUGGACAAAUUUGACACUUCUCUCUGUUGUAACAAAUAUGUUGCUCCCGACGUUACAGGUGUGAUCAGGUACCAUGUCGAACUAUACUUGCAACUAGGUACGGCAACGAUAGUGACAUACGUGGUCUUCAACAGGGAGAUAACCAAGAUCACUAAGCAAGAUGCUGCUACUCUGGUUCUGCUCUGGCUCUUGAGGGAGUUCAUCUUUUGGUUUUACACUUCAUUUGACCCAUGUUUAGAACUGUAACAAGCACUAAUUGUUUCACAAUCGUACUAUAGAAUGGCGGUGGAGGGCAAGAACUACCAAGAUGUCUUGAAAAGCUUGCUGGCAAGGAAUACGUUUUUCAGAUACGUGCCACUCGAUACAAUUUUGUCCCAAACCACUGUGUCUGCAGUCAGUGACACCGAGAGUAGCAGCAGCUUCAAAGGUCCAGUUAUUGGAGCGGAAGGUCGAGAAGCUACAGCUUCUGCAAGUAACACGAUUCCAGCGGCGAAGAUAGAAAUCGGAGGCGAUGAAGCAAAUCCGGCAGGUUUUGAAGGCUAAGAUAAUAGCUGCAAACGCCCCUAAGUGAUAGUUUCAGUUCCAGGAGUGUUCGUACAUUUAAGUUUUCUAAAUUCUUAUGUUUUUACCUAUUUUGAACUUUGGUUUUUCCCUUUUAUUUUCGGCAAAAUACCUCCCACCAUAAGGAUA